rnacentral:rRNA from 1 species
UACGGAGGGUGCGAGCGUUGUCCGGAAUCACUGGGCGUAAAGGGCGCGUAGGCGGCUGGGGAAGUCGGCGGUGAAAGCCCGGAGCUCAACUCCGGGUCGGCCGUCGAGACUCCUCGGCUCGAGCUCACUGGAGGCAGAUGGAAUUCCGGGUGUAGCGGUGGAAUGCGUAGAGAUCCGGAGGAAGACCGGUGGCGAAAGCGGCCUGCUGGGCAGUUACUGACACUGAGGCGCGACAGCGUGGGGAGCAAACAGG